GACGUAGGGUGCAAGCGUUGUCCGGAAUUAUUGGGCGUAAAGGGCUCGUAGGCGGUUUGUCGCGUCGGGAGUGAAAUCCACUGGCUUAACUGGUGGCUUGCUUUCGAUACGGGCAGACUGGAGGUAUGCAGGGGAGAACGGAAUUCCUGGUGUAGCGGUGAAAUGCGUAGAUAUCAAGAGGAACACCUGAGGUGAAGACGGGUUGCUGGGCUGACACUGACGCUGAGGCGCGAAAGCUAGGGGAGCAAACGGG
rnacentral:rRNA from 1 species